AUUGAACGCUGGCGGCAGGCCUAACACAUGCAAGUCGAGCGGUUGAGGUAGCUUGCUACCGAUGCAGCGGCGAACGGGUGAGUAAUACAUGGGAAUCUGCCUGGUAGUGGGGGACAACGUCUCGAAAGGGACGCUAAUACCGCAUACGCCCUACGGGGGAAAGGGGGGGAUCUUUGGACCUCUCGCUAUCAGAUGAGCCCAUGUCAGAUUAGCUAGUUGGUAGGGUAAAGGCCUACCAAGGCGACGAUCUGUAACUAGUCUGAGAGGAUGAUCAGUAACACUGGAACUGAGACACGGUCCAGACUCCUACGGGAGGCAGCAGUGGGGAAUAUUGGACAAUGGGCGCAAGCCUGAUCCAGCCAUGCCGCGUGUGUGAAGAAGGCCUUAGGGUUGUAAAGCACUUUCAGUGGGGAGAAAGGUUAUUCACCUAAUACGUGAGUAAAUUGAUGUUACCCACAGAAGAAGCACCGGCUAACUCCGUGCCAGCCGCCGCCGUAA
rnacentral:rRNA from 1 species